rnacentral:lncRNA from 1 species
AGGAUAUCUAUUAUAAGGAAAAUGUCAAAAAAGAAAGAGUUAGCAUAUCAUAAGCAAAACCUAAACAUAUAGUACAGCCACGGUGACAGGUAUUACUAUAUUCUUGGAAAGUAUAUUUAUUUAGCUUGUCUGAGAUCUCCCCCCACCCUCAUUUGUAAAAUGGUAACUAGGUUAUCCUCUUCAAGAAUACAGAGAUUUUAAAAAAAAGUCAAUACGUGCAAAAACCAUUAUAACAUUGCCUGUUAAUUGUGUUCAAUAAAUAACAUGAGCCAGUUUUUCUCCCUGGGGUAAUUUGUAACAGCUCAAAAAACAGAAAUGAAAGUAAAUUUUCUCCCGAGCAGUCACACUGUCACAUUCAGCUCUCUGGAUUCUCUUUGUAGGUUAUUUAGAAAAUUGUUACCUCAAAAAUGACCUAGGGGUCCUUAGAAUAAUAACACACAGAAGAAUAGCCUCAUUUUUCUGUUGGGCCCAGGAAACCAUGCCGAUUACCGACCGAGCUCUCAAUGGAAAAAUGCAGUCGGCGUGAACCACGCACGAACACAGCAGAGAAAGAAGAAAACACACACCACGAGGAACCCUAAUAGGACAAUACAUUAUAAGUCACAGUGCUACGGAGAAACCCAGUAGCCACAUGGAAGCAGAGACCAUGCAUAUGCAUCUACUCCGCAGCUCUGUGAAUGUCAGCAGCUCCCACGGACUGGAGAUCCCGUGAGAUCCCGUGAGAUCUCACCCAUAGCCUCAUGGUACAUCCACUUGGUGUGCUGGGAGAGUCAGGAUGAGGACCUGAGAAGAACAGCAGCUUGAACCUGACUUCAUUUAACAGCCCACUGCCCUCUUGCCAAGAACCCAUCACAGACCUUCCCAGAAGAGAGGGAUGAGCCUCACCUAUGAAUAAGUCCUCAGAAACUCAAAUUUGAUUCUAAUGGAUUGUUUUCUCAGAAAGACUGAGCAUGUCCCCCCACAUCUCUGUCAUUUCCCACAGUAGUAACCUCUGCAGAUGCCACAUAGAAAACAAAACAAAACAAAAAAACAUGAGGUUGGUGGGCAGAUAGGCAGGGUAUAAACAAACAGCCUUGUAACCCAGAAGCUGUGUGAUAUACAGUAAACUUCACAACACUGAAAAGAUGUCCUAUCUGUUAAAAUGGGGUAAUAACAACUACCCGAAUGUUUAGGAAUAGAACUUCAAUAAAUGAUACAUUUUAUAGUACAGCAGACCAUCCUGUAAAGGUUUCAUCCUUCACUGUGGUGAUAAAUAUCCCAAACCACAUUGAAAAGCAUUGCAUCUACAUUUAUCUACACUGUAACUGUACUGUAAAUCAUGGGGGAGGGGAGAAUCAUAAAAACACCACCUGUCACCGUGUCAUUAAAGCAAGUUGGAAGUGAUACUUACAGAAACACAGCAAGAGCACCCCCAGUCACACAGUUCAAUCUCUUAGCAAGCGUUUUCUUUCUAGCCCAGUGGUUCUCAGUUUGGAAUUUUUGGCACUGCCUAGAGAUAGUUUUGUUGUUAAAACUGAGAAAAGAGCCGGGCGUGGUGGCACACGCCUUUAAUCCCAGCACUCAGGAGGCAGAGGCAGG